UACGUAGGGUGCGAGCGUUGUCCGGAAUUAUUGGGCGUAAAGAGCUUGUAGGCGGUUUGUCGCGUCUGCUGUGAAAAUCCGGGGCUCAACCCCGGACUUGCAGUGGGUACGGGCAGACUAGAGUGUGGUAGGGGAGACUGGAAUUCCUGGUGUAGCGGUGAAAUGCGCAGAUAUCAGGAGGAACACCGAUGGCGAAGGCGGAUCUCUGGGCCGAUACUGACGCUGAGGAGCGAAAGCAUGGGGAGCGAACAGG
rnacentral:rRNA from 1 species